UGAGAUCUGUCACUUCAUCAGGAUCUAGCUUUGGCUUGUUGUUCUCAGGGAACAAGCUGGUUUUACAGAAGGCUGGGGGUUAGGCCAGGAUUUAGCUGUUACUGUCAUGGAAAGAGAAAAGACCAAAGAGAGGAGAAGAACCAGAAGAAGCACCACUUCUGUUUGCUGCUCCUGCUGUCAGAGCAGCGUGUUUGGUGGCUGACUGAGCACCUGUGGUUCCACACUUAGUGGAAGCCACUUCUUUUUCUCUUGACUGUCUUACCAAAUGGAAAACAGAAGGAAGAAAAAGAGAGAAGAAAGUAUUAACACCAAAUAAAGAUAGGUUUUCUCUCUAGGCUCA
rnacentral:lncRNA from 1 species